rnacentral:rRNA from 1 species
UAUGUGAUCGUCUCUCGCAUAUCAAUAAGCGGAGGAAAAGAAACUAACAAGGAUUCCCCUAGUAACGGCGAGUGAAGCGGGAAGAGCUCAAAUUUGAAAUCUUAAAGGGUUUCCCUUUACGAAUUGUAGUUUAAAGAAGUGUUUUCUGUUGAGGUUUUGGUAAAAGUUCUUUGGAAUAGGACAUCAUAGAGGGUGAGAAUCCCGUAUUUGACCUUUACUUUCAACUUUGUGAUACACUUUCAAAGAGUCGGAUUGUUUGGGAAUGCAGUCCAAAAUGGGUGGUAAAUUUCAUCUAAAGCUAAAUAUUGGCGAGAGACCGAUAGCGAACAAGUACCGUGAGGGAAAGAUGAAAAGAACUUUGAAAAGAGAGUUAAACAGUACGUGAAAUUGUCAAAAGGGAAGCGUUUGACACCAGUGUUGUUUUUCUGAAAAUCAAUUAAAGAACUGUUUAUGCUAAGCUGUUUAGACUUUAUCAGCUAUCUGUUUAGUUUUGAGCUUUUCUUUAAUGCACUUUUCAGUUAACAAGUCAACAUCAAUUUCUUUUGCUGUAAAAAAGCUUGAGGAAGGUAGCUUGAGAUUCGUCUUAAGUGUUUAUAGCCUCUUGCCUAUGCAGUCGGAGAGAUUGAGGUCUGCAGCGUAGAUCCUUCGGGGCUAAAUGCAUUUGUGCUAAGUUAUAGCAUUUUAUAGACAACUUGUUGACUAUGAUUUGUCUUGUAGCUUACUCGCUUAUGUUAUUUUACCUACGCUUAGGAUGUUGAGCGCAUGUCUCUCUCU